AAUUGUCCGUUAGGGAUUGUAAUGGUUAGCUUUUGGCGAGGCGUGCAUUGAGCCAAAACUAGUAAUGGAAAGCCCGACCCUCG
rnacentral:sRNA from 1 species